ACAUUAGUCUAAAUAACUAUUUUUUAUUGAUACAUACUUCUCAAGGUCUAGUAAUUGACUCCAUUCCCUGCAAAUUGCAAUGUUUGUUUUUGGUCCUCGCAGUCGUUGUAUCUCAAUAGAAUACCCUAGAAAACUAUUAAUUUUCGAAUAAAUACCCCUCUCUCUCUCUCUCUCUCUCUCUCUCUCUCUCUUGUUCAGUUUCAAUAUUUAUUUUACCUUGGAGUACAUUCCAACUCUCUGCAAAAAGGGAAUUGUGAAGCUUGCGUACGGCCAUGGAAGGAAGCACGCUUUACAACCCUCGAACGGUAGAGGAGGUUUUCAGGGAUUUCAAAGGUCGCCGAGCCGGCCUCAUCAAAGCUCUCACCACUGAUGUUGAAGAAUUUUAUCAGCAGUGCGACCCUGAGAAGGAAAAUCUUUGUUUGUAUGGAUUUCCUAGUGAGCAGUGGGAAGUUAAUUUGCCUGCCGAAGAGGUACCUCCGGAGCUCCCAGAGCCUGCAUUAGGUAUCAACUUUGCUAGAGAUGGGAUGCAAGAUAAGGACUGGUUGGCUCUUGUUGCUGUCCAUAGUGAUGCAUGGUUACUUGCUGUGGCUUUCUAUUUUGGUGCUAGAUUUGGUUUUGAUAAAGCUGACAGGAAGCGUCUCUUCGGUAUGAUGAAUGAACUGCCAACAAUAUUUGAGGUGGUGACUGGAGCUGCAAAGAAACAAGUAAAGGAUAAGCCGUUGAUCUCAAACUAUGGCAGCAACAAAUCCAAGUCAAAUUCAAAAGGGGUAAAAGAGACAUCUUUCUUCCUGCGAGGUUCUGAAUCCCAGGGAAAAUAUUCCAAGGUGCUGCUGGCAAAGGAUGAGGAGGAGGGAUUGGAUGAGGAAGAUGAGGAGGAGGAGCAUGGUGAUACCUUGUGUGGAGCUUGUGGAGAGAACUAUGCUUCAGAUGAGUUCUGGAUUUGCUGUGACAUAUGUGAGAGGUGGUUCCAUGGUAAGUGCGUGAAGAUAACUCCGGCCAGGGCUGAGCACAUCAAGCAGUACAAGUGCCCGUCAUGCAGCAACAAGAGAGUUCGGCCUUGAUAUCCCAUUGAGGAUUUACAGCUCUAGGAAGUGAAGGGAAACCUAGCUUCCCUCCCUUUGAAGUGCACUAAAGGUUCACUUGGAAAAUUUUCCAAGGACAUUCAUAGGCAAUGGGCUGACAAUUGAAAAACCUGUGAAUGAUUUCUGCAUAGUGUUUUAGUAGUGCUUCCACAUUGCGGAUUGCUGUUGAAGGUGGUAGAUGAUGGCUGCUGGCUGCUUUAUAUGAUCUUUUGGAAUGCAUACUGCACUCAUCAACUCACUAUGAAACCUGCAGACAUGAGUUUUUCGUACAUGGACAGAAAUGCAAAUGUGAUUUACUGAUGAAUUUGGACUUUGGAAACAAAAGAUGUUGCAUGCUCAAUAGUUGCAAUUACGCCUAUUCUCUAUGCAAAUUUUUUAAACUGCCACAUUCUAUUCUAUUUUGUGAUACUUCAGAGUUAGUAGGUUUUUUUUUUAUUUAUUUAUUUCUUUUUCUCGUUGAGUACAGGAAUUGACCUAUAGCCCAUCAGAAUUCGUAUGUUAUACAUUGUUUUAUGUUGUUAUGGUGUAAGUUAAAGCACCUAAA